AGUAAUGCACGGAACGUACCUCGAAUGGGGGAUAGCCCUUCGAAAGAAGGGGUAAUACCGCAUGUGAUCGCAAGAUCAAAGUCGCAAGACGCUUUGAGAGCGGCCUGUGUCCUAUCAGGUAGUUGGUGAGGUAAUGGCUCACCAAGCCUAUGACGGGUAGCUGGUCUGAGAGGAUGACCAGCCAGACUGGAACUGAGACACGGUCCAG
rnacentral:rRNA from 1 species